rnacentral:hammerhead_ribozyme from 1 species
AUCAUCUGACGAGUCCCAAAAAGAACGAAACACGAGUCACGGAU